GAUUUGAUGCAUGAUCUUGCUGCACAAGUAGCGCAAGAUGAAAUCAUUUUAUUAAAUUCAGAUGCAAAGCGUGUUGAAAAAAACACUCGACAUUUGUCAAUUGAUUUUAAAGUUGAGUCGUGGCAAAAAGUCGCAAGUUGCUUACCUAAUGUGUCAAAGAUGAGAACAUUUACAUCACUUGAUUGGUCAAAAAAGCAUGAUAUUAAAGAAGUAGAAUGUGAGGAAAUUUUUUUCAAAUUAGGUCAUGUAAGAGUAUUAAGUUUGCGUGGUUGGGGAAUUAAGAGAGUGCCACGUUCAAUUGAUAAAUUGAAGCACAUAAGGCUUCUCAAUCUUUCUGAUAACAAAGGCAUUGAAAUCCUUCCUGAUUCCAUUAUUAAACUCCAAAACCUGCAAACUCUGUACCUAUAUGAUUGUGAAAAGCUUAAGCAGCUGCCUAAGCAUAUGAAAAGGUUGGUCAAUCUCAA
rnacentral:misc_RNA from 1 species